rnacentral:rRNA from 1 species
AAAAGAAGAUCAAGAAGAGCUUCAGAAUGAAGCUUUCUUGAUGGAGGGGAGCGGCAGACGGGUGAGUAACACGUGGGAACAUACCCAUCUCUGCGGAACAACUCCGGGAAACUGGAGCUAAUACCGCAUACGCCCUUCGGGGGAAAGAUUUAUCGGAGAUGGAUUGGCCCGCGUUGGAUUAGCUAGUUGGUGGGGUAAAGGCCUACCAAGGCGACGAUCCAUAGCUGGUCUGAGAGGAUGAUCAGCCACAUUGGGACUGAGGCACGGCCCAAACUCCUACGGGAGGCAGCAGUGGGGAAUAUUGGACAAUGGGCGCAAGCCUGAUCCAGCCAUGCCGCGUGAGUGAUGAAGGCCUUAGGGUUGUAAAGCUCUUUCACCGAUGAAGAUAAUGACGGUAGUCGGAGAAGAAGCCCCGGCUAACUUCGUGCCAGCCGCCGCCGUAA